rnacentral:rRNA from 1 species
GCUCAGCCGUAAACUCAGACAUCCAGCUACAAUUAGAUGUCCGCCAGGGUACUACGAGCAUUAGCUUAAAACCCAAAGGACCUGACGGUGUCUCAGACCCCCCUAGAGGAGCCUGUUCUAGAACCGAUAACCCCCGUUCAACCUCACCACUUCUAGCCACCCCAGCCUAUAUACCGCCGUCGUCAGCUUACCCUGUGAAGGUAAUAAAAGUAAGCAAAAUGGGCACAACCCAAAACGUCAGGUCGAGGUGUAGCGCAUGAAGUGGGAAGAAAUGGGCUACAUUUUCUAAUAUAGAAUAUUACGAACAUGCACCAUGAAACAAUGCUUGAAGGAGGAUUUAGUAGUAAAAGGGAAAUAGAGUGUCCCUUUGAACCCGGCUCUGAGACGCGU